rnacentral:rRNA from 1 species
UAAGCCUGUGAAGGUGUGUCGUGAGGCAUGCUGGAGGUAUCAGAAGUGCGAAUGCUGACAUAAGUAACGAUAAAGCGGGUGAAAAGCCCGCUCGCCGGAAGACCAAGGGUUCCUGUCCAACGUUAAUCGGGGCAGGGUGAGUCGACCCCUAAGGCGAGGCCGAAAGGCGUAGUCGAUGGGAAACGGGUUAAUAUUCCCGUACUUGGUGUUACUGCGAAGGGGGGACGGAGAAGGCUAUGUUGGCCGGGCGACGGUUGUCCCGGUUUAAGCGUGUAGGUGUGUGUUCCAGGUAAAUCCGGUUCACUUUAACACUGAGGCGUGACGACGAGGCACUACGGUGCUGAAGCAACAAAUGCCCUGCUUCCAGGAAAAGCCUCUAAGCAUCAGGUAACAUCAAAUCGUACCCCAAACCGACACAGGUGGUCAGGUAGAGAAUACCAAGGCGCUUGAGAGAACUCGGGUGAAGGAACUAGGCAAAAUGGUGCCGUAACUUCGGGAGAAGGCACGCUGACACGUAGGUGAAGUGAUUUACUCAUGGAGCUGAAGUCAGUCGAAGAUACCAGCUGGCUGCAACUGUUUAUUAAAAACACAGCACUGUGCAAACACGAAAGUGGACGUAUACGGUGUGACGCCUGCCCGGUGCCGGAAGGUUAAUUGAUGGGGUCAGCGCAAGCGAAGCUCCUGAUCGAAGCCCCGGUAAACGGCGGCCGUAACUAUAACGGUCCUAAGGUAGCGAAAUUCCUUGUCGGGUAAGUUCCGACCUGCACGAAUGGCGUAAUGAUGGCCAGGCUGUCUCCACCCGAGACUCAGUGAAAUUGAACUCGCUGUGAAGAUGCAGUGUACCCGCGGCAAGACGGAAAGACCCCGUGAACCUUUACUAUAGCUUGACACUGAACAUUGAGCCUUGAUGUGUAGGAUAGGUGGGAGGCUUUGAAGCGUGGACGCCAGUCUGCGUGGAGCCGACCUUGAAAUACCACCCUUUAAUGUUUGAUGUUCUAACGUGGACCCGUGAUCCGGGUUGCGGACAGUGUCUGGUGGGUAGUUUGACUGGGGCGGUCUCCUCCUAAAGAGUAACGGAGGAGCACGAAGGUUGGCUAAUCCUGGUCGGACAUCAGGAGGUUAGUGCAAUGGCAUAAGCCAGCUUGACUGCGAGCGUGACGGCGCGAGCAGGUGCGAAAGCAGGUCAUAGUGAUCCGGUGGUUCUGAAUGGAAGGGCCAUCGCUCAACGGAUAAAAGGUACUCCGGGGAUAACAGGCUGAUACCGCCCAAGAGUUCAUAUCGACGGCGGUGUUUGGCACCUCGAUGUCGGCUCAUCACAUCCUGGGGCUGAAGUAGGUCCCAAGGGUAUGGCUGUUCGCCAUUUAAAGUGGUACGCGAGCUGGGUUUAGAACGUCGUGAGACAGUUCGGUCCCUAUCUGCCGUGGGCGCUGGAGAACUGAGGGGGGCUGCUCCUAGUACGAGAGGACCGGAGUGGACGCAUCACUGGUGUUCGGGUUGUCAUGCCAAUGGCACUGCCCGGUAGCUAAAUGCGGAAGAGAUAAGUGCUGAAAGCAUCUAAGCACGAAACUUGCCCCGA